rnacentral:Y_RNA from 1 species
GGCUGGUCUGAAGGUAGUGAGUUAUCUCACUUGAUUGUUCACAGUUAUAGAUCAAACUUCUUGUUCUACUGUUUCCCCCUUCUCACUACUGUACUUGACUGUCUUUG